rnacentral:rRNA from 1 species
GACGAACGCUGGCGGCGUGCCUAAUACAUGCAAGUAGAACGCUGAAGCUUGGUGCUUGCACCGAGCGGAUGAGUUGCGAACGGGUGAGUAACGCGUAGGUAACCUGCCUGGUAGCGGGGGAUAACUAUUGGAAACGAUAGCUAAUACCGCAUAAGAGUAGAUGUUGCAUGACAUUUGCUUAAAAGGUGCAAUUGCAUCACUACCAGAUGGACCUGCGUUGUAUUAGCUAGUUGGUGAGGUAACGGCUCACCAAGGCAACGAUACAUAGCCGACCUGAGAGGGUGAUCGGCCACACUGGGACUGAGACACGGCCCAGACUCCUACGGGAGGCAGCAGUAGGGAAUCUUCGGCAAUGGACGGAAGUCUGACCGAGCAACGCCGCGUGAGUGAAGAAGGUUUUCGGAUCGUAAAGCUCGGUUGUAAGAGAAGAACGAGUGUGAGAGUGGAAAGUUCACACUGUGACGGUAUCUUACCAGAAAGGGACGGCUAACUACGUG